rnacentral:tRNA from 2 species
GCCCGGGUGGUCUAGUGGUAUGAUUCGCGCUUAGUAAGACUUCCUAAUUGGAUCAAAUCUCUACCUUACAAAUUUACUAACAAACUGUUCAGGGGUUCACCCAAAGCAAUAUUGCGCGAGGUCCCCGGUUCAAUCCCGGGCUCGGGCC